ACGAAUAAAGAGUCUUCAGGUUGAUUAUUUUAUGUGAAAAUUAGAAAGUAAUGUUGGACAAGUUGUUGAUCUCCAUGCAUCUCUCUGACUCUACUUCUUGUCGGAAAUCGGACUAGCAAAUGAUAUGUCGAGACUGUUAUCCUUAGAACAUUAAGACCAGGUCAUCCGAGUAUGACAUUAUAAGCCGAGAGAAUUUGGACAACCGUGAAUAUCAAGAGAAUAGUACUCUGUUGUGGUUUAGUUCCUGCGGUUAAUGGAAGAGUGAUUUCUCCCUCCAC
rnacentral:lncRNA from 1 species